GCGUUUGUAGCUCAAAUGGCAGAGCAGCCGCCUUGAUGAAGUUUUUGGCUUUCUAAGAGCGGCAGAUGUGCGAUCGAAACGCACCAAGCGCC
rnacentral:tRNA from 1 species